rnacentral:rRNA from 1 species
CCUUACGUGAAUACAUAGCGUAAGGAAGGCAGACCCAGGGAACUGAAACAUCUAAGUACCUGGAGGAAGAGAAAGAAAAAUCGAUUUCCUGAGUAGCGGCGAGCGAAACGGAAAGAGCCCAAACCAAGAAGCUUGCUUCUUGGGGUUGUAGGACACUCUAUACGGAGUUACAAAAGAAAGUUAUAAAUGAAGCGGUCUGGAAAGGCCCGCCAAAGACGGUAACAGCCCGGUAGUUGAAAUGGCUUUCCCUCCAGAGUGGAUCCUGAGUACGGCGGAACACGUGAAAUUCCGUCGGAAUCCGGGAGGACCAUCUCCCAAGGCUAAAUACUCCCUAGUGACCGAUAGUGAACCAGUACCGUGAGGGAAAGGUGAAAAGCACCCCGGAAGGGGAGUGAAACAGUUCCUGAAACCGUGUGCCUACAAGUAGUUAGAGCCCGUUAAUGGGUGAUAGCGUGCCUUUUGUAGAAUGAACCGGCGAGUUACGAUUUGUUGCAAGGUUAAGCGGAAAAAGCGGAGCCGUAGCGAAAGCGAGUCUGAAUAGGGCGCAUAAGUAACAGGUCGUAGACCCGAAACCAGGUGAUCUACCCAUGUCCAGGAUGAAGGUAAGGUAAUACUUACUGGAGGUCCGAACCCACGCACGUUGAAAAGUGCGGGGAUGAGGUGUGGGUAGCGGAGAAAUUCCAAUCGAACUUGGAGAUAGCUGGUUCUCUCCGAAAUAGCUUUAGGGCUAGCCUCGAGGUAAAGAGUCAUGGAGGUAGAGCACUGUUUGGACUAGGGGCCCUUCUCGGGUUACCGAAUUCAGAUAAACUCCGAAUGCCAUGUACUUAUACUCGGGAGUCAGACUGCGAGUGAUAAGAUCCGUAGUCGAAAGGGAAACAGCCCAGACCACCAGUUAAGGUCCCCAAAUAUAUGUUAAGUGGAAAAGGAUGUGGGGUUGCUUAGACAACCAGGAUGUUGGCUUAGAAGCAGCCACCAUUGAAAGAGUGCGUAAUAGCUCACUGGUCGAGUGACCCCGCGCCGAAAAUGUACCGGGGCUAAACAUAUUACCGAAACUGUGGAUGAACCUCUUCGGAGGUUCGUGGUAGGAGAGCGUUCUAAGGGCGGUGAAGUCAGACCGGAAGGACUGGUGGAGCGCUUAGAAGUGAGAAUGCCGGUAUGAGUAGCGAAAGAAGGGUGAGAAUCCCUUCCACCGAAUAUCUAAGGUUUCCUGAGGAAGGCUCGUCCGCUC